UAAAGACAGAUUGAGGAGACAGGAAAUGGAGCCCUUCUUUAUCUUCAUGUACCCAGUGUCUUGCUUUCCCCUUACAGCCUGCUGAGCCUAUCAAGAGACAGCCAAGGUCCCAGUGCUUGUCCACACUAGUCCGUCCUGUCUUUGGAGAGCUCAAAGAGAAGCACAAGCAGAGCGGUGGGAGCGUGGGUGCCCUGGAGGAGCUAGAGAAUGCCUUCAGCCUGGCUGAGGAAUCCUGUCCUGGCAUCUCAGACAAGCUGAUGGUGCAUCUGGUGGAGCGUGUGCAGAGGUUCUCACACAGCAGAAACCACCUGACAUCUACCCGCUGACCAACCAACUAACUGAAUGCACUACUCUUCACAGAGAGGGAGAAGAAUGCUUUUUGUUUUGAGCUCUAAAAGGACUGACUUGGAAGCCCUCUUGUGUUGUGUUGCAACUGUACAGACCAACCAGCUUCACAAGCCAGGUUACCUUCCUUCUGCCCUACACAGCAGCCCCUCGACACCUGUGCUCACCUCCUUGGUUGACUGAAGCUAUGAGGCACCCAGGAGCCCUUACAGACCUGGGCUGGAACGUGGGAGGCUGGCGUGACCGUCUGUAGACCCCACAGCCCUUGCAGUGGGGAGACCACGGAGCACAGGAACUACUGGGCAGCCCUGGCUCUUCCUCCUCACCAGGAACAUUUCUUGAGGGCUCACAGGGGCCCAAGAUGGUCAUAAUUUGCCUUGUGGUGUCAGUUCAGGUACUGUGUGUUUUUCAAAUCAUCCAGAAUAUUUUGGGCUUUUUUUUUUUUUUUUUUUUAAAGAAAAUUGAACUUCCUGAGUAUUCUGACAGUGUUAGUUUUCAUAGAGCAUUGAAAGCCCUACCAUUUCAAUAAAUACCUGGAUUGGAGACAUUCUGAUGUACAGACCCUGA
rnacentral:lncRNA from 1 species